UAAACUUGCAAGCACUAAACUUGGCUGUUUAAUACAGCAGACACCAGCCACAUGUGGCUAGUGGGAAUCUGAAAUGUGGCUGUUCGGAAUUGAGGUGUUCGUGGGAGAGAGAGAUGUUUGGAUCUUACAAGCAAGGCUCUAGUGUAUCCCCAUCUCACACUAUGGAGUCAUGUCUCAACCACCUCCUCCUAUUGUCACUCGGCAAAUGGAAUGGUUUCGGUGUGCUGAGAGCCCUGUACUGUGAAUGAGGGAGAAGACCAAGACACGUCAGGCACAACUAGAUCAUGAAAUCAACUCAAGACUUCAAAAACUCUCUAUAAUGGGAUACUGGAGCAAAGACACUUUGCUGUUGUGUUGCUUUUUAAUGUGGUAAUUUUCAACUAGGUAGUUGCAGUCAAAUAGAGGCAAAGAUGUUAACUGAAUCCCUCCGUGGCCUGCUGUGUGGGGCCAGUGAUGGAUGCUGUCUGGGAUGCUGAGGUACAUACAGUCCAGGCUCUGGUCAUACAGAGCCUGCUCUCUGGGCAGGAAGAUGGACACCUGGAUAAGUCAGAAACAAAACAGCGUGAAAUGAGUACACCCAAAUGAGGAUGAUGGGAAC